GAUGAAGAACGUAGCGAAAUGCGAUACUUGGUGUGAAUUGCAGAAUCCCGCGAAUCAUCGAGUUUUUGAACGCAAGUUGCGCCCGAAGCCAUUCGGCCGAGGGCACGUCUGCCUGGGUGUCACGCAUCGUUGCCCCUUCAAACUCCGGUUCGGGCGGGGCGGAAGUUGGCCUCCCGUGCGUGCCUGCGCGCGCGGUUAGCCCAAAAGCGAGUCCUCGGCGACGAGCGCCACGACAAUCGGUGGUUUUUUUACCCUCGUUCCUCGUCGUGCGUGCCCCGUCGCCCGAACGCGCUCUUGCGACCCUUACGCGUCGCCUCGGCGGCGCUCCCAACGCGACCCCAGGUCAGGCGGGACUACCCGCUGAGUUUAAGCAUAUCAAUAAGCGGAGGA
rnacentral:misc_RNA from 1 species